UACGUAGGGUGCGAGCGUUGUCCGGAAUUAUUGGGCGUAAAGAGCUUGUAGGCGGUUUGUCGCGUCUGCUGUGAAAUUUCGGGGCUCAACCCCGAACUUGCAGUGGGUACGGGCAGACUAGAGUGUGGUAGGGGAGACUGGAAUUCCUGGUGUAGCGGUGAAAUGCGCAGAUAUCAGGAGGAACACCAGUGGCGAAGGCGCCGCUCUGGGCCGAGACUGACGCUGAGGAGCGAAAGCGUGGGUAGCAAACAGG
rnacentral:rRNA from 1 species